GAAGUCGUUACUCCAACCCUUGUGGAGGAGGACGCCGAAGGUGGGGCUAAUGACUGGGGUGAAGUCGUAACAAGGUAGCCGUACCGGAAGGUGCGGCUGGAUCACCUCCUAACAGGGAGACAACAAAAUGUAAAUAUUAAUUUUGUCACCUUAGGUCGAUCGGUAUCUCAGAUUCUUAUUUUUUAAGAAUUUCAGUUUCUAAGUUUUUUCUAGGUCACACCCAUCACUUUUUCCUGGGCCAUUAGCUCAGGUGGUUAGAGCGCACCCCUGAUAAGGGUGAGGUCCCUGGUUCAAGUCCAGGAUGGCCCAUAUCUCUAUGUUGGGGGUAUAGCUCAGUUGGUAGAGCGCCUGCUUUGCAAGCAGGAUGUCAGCGGUUCGAGUCCGCUUACCUCCACUGAAUACCACCUCUUACAUAUAUUUAAAGAGGGAAAUUGUUUUGAGUUGUGUCCUAAUUUGCUCUGAGCGAAUCUAGCUUCCUAUUUUUUUCUAUAAAUAAGAUGCUGGACUCAUUGAAUUUUUUUUCAUUGAUUUCAGAGAACCUUGACAACUGCAUAGAUUAUUUUUGAAGACAAUAAGCAUCUUUAAUGAUGCAGAUUUAUUAUUUGUGCGAAUGCAUUAAAUAACAAUUCUAUUAAGCUGAUGCUUCAAUUAUUGAAGUUAUUGG
rnacentral:misc_RNA from 1 species